GAUGAACGCUGGCGGCGUGCCUAAUACAUGCAAGUCGAGCGAACAGAUGAGGAGCUUGCUCCUCUGACGUUAGCGGCGGACGGGUGAGUAACACGUGGAUAACCUACCUAUAAGACUGGGAUAACUUCGGGAAACCGGAGCUAAUACCGGAUAAUAUAUUGAACCGCAUGGUUCAAUAGUGAAAGACGGUUUUGCUGUCACUUAUAGAUGGAUCCGCGCCGCAUUAGCUAGUUGGUAAGGUAAUGGCUUACCAAGGCAACGAUGCGUAGCCGACCUGAGAGGGUGAUCGGCCACACUGGAACUGAGACACGGUCCAGACUCCUACGGGAGGCAGCAGUAGGGAAUCUUCCGCAAUGGGCGAAAGCCUGACGGAGCAACGCCGUGUGAGUGAUGAAGGUCUUCGGAUCGUAAAACUCUGUUAUUAGGGAAGAACAAAUGUGUAAGUAACUAUGCACGUCUUGACGGUACCUAAUCAGAAAGCCACGGCUAACUACGUG
rnacentral:rRNA from 1 species